UACGUAGGCAGCAAGCGUUGUUCGGAAUUACUGGGCGUAAAGAGUGUGUAGGCGGUGCUCUAAGUCUGUCGUGAAAUCUCCCGGCUUAACUGGGAGGGUGCGGCGGAUACUAGUGUGCUAGAGGGUGGGAGAGGUAAGCGGAAUUCCUGGUGUAGCGGUGAAAUGCGUAGAUAUCAGGAGGAACACCUGCGGUGUAGACAGCUUACUGGACCACUUCUGACGCUGAGACACGAAAGCGUGGGUAGCAAACAGG
rnacentral:rRNA from 1 species